rnacentral:rRNA from 1 species
UGGGGAAUUUUGGACAAUGGGCGAAAGCCUGAUCCAGCAAUGCCGCGUGUGUGAAGAAGGCCUUCGGGUUGUAAAGCACUUUUGUCCGGAAAGAAAUCCUUGGCUCUAAUACAGUCGGGGGACGACGGUACCGGAAGAAUAAGCACCGGCUAACUACGUGCCAGCAGCCGCGGUAAUACGUAGGGUGCAAGCGUUAAUCGGAAUUACUGGGCGUAAAGCGUGCGCAGGCGGUUUGCUAAGACCGAUGUGAAAUCCCCGGGCUCAACCUGGGAACUGCAUUGGUGACUGGCAGGCUAGAGUAUGGCAGAGGGGGGUAGAAUUCCACGUGUAGCAGUGAAAUGCGUAGAGAUGUGGAGGAAUACCGAUGGCGAAGGCAGCCCCCUGGGCCAAUACUGACGCUCAUGCACGAAAGCGUGGGGAGCAAACAGGAUUAGAUACCCUGGUAGUCCACGCCCUAAAACGAUGUCAACUAGUUGUUGGGGAUUCAUUUCCUUAGUAACGUAGCUAACGCGUGAAGUUGACCGCCUGGGGAGUACGGUCGCAAGAUUAAAACUUAAAGGAAUUGACGGGGUCAUAGCUGUUUCCU